UACGUAGGGACCAAGCGUUGUUCGGAUUUACUGGGCGUAAAGGGCGCGUAGGCGGCGUGGUAAGUCACUUGUGAAAUCUCUGAGCUUAACUCAGAACGGCCAAGUGAUACUGCUGUGCUAGAGUGCAGAAGGGGCAAUCGGAAUUCUUGGUGUAGCGGUGAAAUGCGUAGAUACCAAGAGGAACACCUGAGGUGAAGACGGGUUGCUGGGCUGACACUGACGCUGAUGCGCGAAAGCCAGGGGAGCAAACGGG
rnacentral:rRNA from 1 species